rnacentral:rRNA from 1 species
AUUGAACGCUGGCGGCAGGCCUAACACAUGCAAGUCGAGCGGGGUUUUCGGACCUAGCGGCGGACGGGUGAGUAAUGCGUAGGAAGCUACCCGAUAGAGGGGGAUACCAGUUGGAAACGACUGUUAAUACCGCAUAAUGUCUACGGACCAAAGUGUGGGACCUUCGGGCCACAUGCUAUCGGAUGCGCCUACGUGGGAUUAGCUAGUUGGUGAGGUAAUGGCUCACCAAGGCGACGAUCCCUAGCUGGUUUGAGAGGAUGAUCAGCCACACUGGAACUGAGACACGGUCCAGACUCCUACGGGAGGCAGCAGUGGGGAAUAUUGGACAAUGGGCGCAAGCCUGAUCCAGCCAUGCCGCGUGCGUGAAGAAGGCCUUCGGGUUGUAAAGCACUUUCAGUAGGGAGGAAGCGUUGAGUGUUAAUAGUACUCAGCGUUGACGUUACCUACAGAAGAAGCACCGGCUAACUCUGUGCCAGCCGCCGCAGUAAUAC